CCCCGAGUAAACCACGUGUAACUUCCUCUUCCUCCUUGCUCUGGGUGUGCCUCGGGCCUCUGAGUAACUGGGCUUCUUGCAAGUGCUUUACUCCCUGCUAAUGGGCUGGGGGGAUUUGGGAGCUUUCGGAGAGCCUUCUAAGGAAACCCCCAACCUGGACCAGAUGGCUGCAGAAGGGAUGCUUUUCCUGGAUUUUUAUACUGCCAGCCCCCUCUGCUCUCCCUCAAGGGCAGCACUGCUGACAGGCCGGCUCCCGGUCAGGAAUGGCUUUUACACCACCAAUGGACACGCCAGGAACGCAUACACACCACAGGACAUAGUAGGAGGAAUCCCAGAUUCUGAAUUACUGCUUCCAGAGCUUCUGAAGAAAGCUGGUUACACCAAUAAGAUCAUUGGCAAAUGCUCAGUGGGAUAAAAGGGACUUGUCAUAGAUCAGAAUCCUUAAGUGAAACAUUAUGUGCAUCUCUGCAGUGGUUUGGGGGAGUGUAGUCCAUCAGUGCUGAUCAUCAGACAGCAUGGGAGAAGACACCAGUGGAAGGAAAAAAUGGAAAACAGUGAUUGGAGAGUAAAUAAAGUGGAAUAUAAGUGAGCACUGGGGCACCUGGGGCACCGGCCCCAGUUCCACCCCCUGAAGCACGGCUUUGAUGAGUGGUUUGGGUCCCCAAACUGCCACUUUGGGCCCUACAACAGCACAGAGCGCCCCAACAUCCCCAUCUACAGGGACUGGGAGAUGGUUGGCAGAUACUAUGAAGACUUCAAAAUUGAUCUAAAGACAGGUGAAGCCAACUUGACUCAGCUCUACCUGCAGGAAGCUCUGGAUUUUAUUAGCAAGCAGCAGGCCAGCCAGCAGCCAUUCUUUUUAUACUGGGCAAUUGAUGCUACCCACGCUCCUGUCUAUGCCUCCAAACAGUUCCUGGGCACGAGUCAGAGAGGGCUGUAUGGGGACGCUGUGCGGGAAAUCGACGACAGCGUUGGGAAAAUCCUGAAGCACCUCCAGCAGCUGGGCAUCAGUGAGAACACCUUUGUGUUUUUCACCUCUGAUAACGGGGCUGCUCUCAUUUCAGCUCCCAAGCAAGGAGGAAGCAAUGGGCCUUUCCUGUGUGGCAAACAAACCACCUUCGAGGGUGGCAUGAGGGAGCCGGCCAUCGCCUGGUGGCCCGGCCACGUCCCUGCAGGAGGGGUCAGCCAUCAGCUGGGCAGUGUGAUGGAUCUGUUCAGCACCAGCCUCUCCCUGGCGGGUCUGCAGCCUCCCAGUGACAGACAGAUUGAUGGCAUCGACCUUUUACCUGUCAUCCUGCAGGGCAAGCUAAUUGACAGGCCCAUUUUCUAUUAUCGUGGCAACGAGCUGAUGGCAGUGAGAGCUGGGCUGUACAAAGCUCACUACUGGACCUGGAGCAACUCCUGGGAGGAGCAUGGCAAGGGCAUCGAUUUCUGUCCUGGCCAGAGGGUGGCUGGAGUGACCACCCACACCCAGGAGGAGCACACCCACCUGCCCCUGCUCUUCCACCUGGGCAGGGACCCUGGUGAGAAGUACCCCUUAAGUUUUGCCAGUGAGGAGUACCAGCGGGCUGUGGAGCACAUCUCGGGGCUGGUGCAGAAGCACAAGGCCACCCUGGUGCCAGGCCAGCCCCAGCUGAACGUGUGUGACCAGGCUGUCAUGAAUUGGGCUCCUCCAGGCUGUGAGAAGCUUGGGAAGUGCCUGAAAGCACCAGAGUCUGAUCCUAAGAAAUGCUCUUGGCCUCACUGAUGGCUGCAGCCCUCCAGAGCUACCCAGAGGCAGCUGGACAUCCAGUUUCCAAUGCCUGCUCCUGCUGGCACUCCUGUUUACACAGGAAGGGUGUGAUGUGUGCAUGAUAUCAUCACUUGCUCUUCCAAAAGGGCCAGUGUUUAUAUUCCUCGUGCUCAGGGUUUAGCCUCUACUCCUCUCUUCCCCCAGUUCUUUCCCUAAAUGGUAACUCCAGUGAGGAUUGGGUCAGCUGUAAAAGCUCUCUGGCCAGCCACAACCCUGCCAUCAGCCCCAUGGAUCACUCCUGCUCCUUGCACCCAGCCUUGCUCACUGGGCUGCCCCAACAGGAGCCACGGGACAGGUCAGGAAACUCAGAGCUGCCAGAGAGCUCUGCCCAAACUGCCCAUGUUUUGUUUGCCUGUAGCUUGUUGUUUUAACAUUUGCUUUCCAUUGUGAACUCUGGACAUCAACUUGUUUUUCCUUUCUCCCCAAAUUUGUGAGUUCUGGGUGCAAACCAGGGAUCCCUCCUGCUCCCAGCUGAGGGGUUUGGAUCCAGGGAGAAUGCCCUCAGUUCCUUCCGUGUGUAGCUGCAAACAUUCCCUAGGUCAUGGUUUAAGGAAAGGUGGGAUUGUGUUCAGGUGAGUGUUGCAUUGGGGUUCCAGCCCCUGCCAGCCUGAAGGGGCUCCAGGAGAGCUGGAGGGGGCUUGGAGGGACAGGACACAGGGAAUGGCUCCCACUGCCAGAGGGCAGGGCUGGAUGGGAUAUUGGGAAGGAAUUCUUCCUUGUAAGAGUGGUGAGGCCCUGGCCCAGGUGCCCAGAGCAGCUGUGGCUGCCCCUGGAUCCCUGGCAGUGUCCAAGGCCAGGUUUGGGCAGGGCUUUGGAGCAACUGGGACAGUGGAAGUGGGGUUGCACUGGGUGAGGUUUCAGGUCUUUUCCAACCCAGACCAUUCCAGGAUUGUAUUGCCAGUUGUUGCUGCAGGACAUUUGUGGGGAGCUGGGGGAUAGGUGUUCAUUUUGGGGCUUCCCUUCAUUUCCAAAAAUCUGGGUCUAAAGCUGGUCCAAGCCACGCUUCCCAUCUCGAGCUCUGGGCUCAGAAAUGCCCCUUGGCACCAGCCCUUGAUUCCUGACCCCGUCUCCAGCACAUGCUCUCCCAGGAAUUCUCCUUGUGCAAACCUUCCCCAGCCUGGCUGCAGCUCUCCUCUAGCCAGAGUUCCUGGGGAACAGGAGCCUUUGCUCAAUCCUGCAGGGCAGAUCCCUGCUCUGCCUUGGAGCCCGUUCCACACCCUUGCCUGUCUCCAAUAAACCUGUCUGGAGCAAAACCAGCCUCCUCUGGCCUCCAGGGCAGCAGCUGGAGGCAGCCUGGGCAUGUUUGGGUUCAGACUGAAAGAGGGGAAGUUUGGGUUGGAUAUAAGGAAGGAAUUGCUCCCUGUGAGGGUGGGGAGGCUCUGGCACAGGGUGCCCAGAGAAGCUUGGAGCAGCCUGGGCUAGUGGAAGGUGUGGGCGUGGAGCAGGGUGAGCUUUUGGAUCCCUUCCCACCCAAACCAUUCCAUGAUUCUCCAUUUGUCCCACCAACAGCUCUCCUUCCAUCCCUCCAGUGUUUUCCACAGCACAGGUGCCCUGUCUGUGUGAUGUUGUGCUGCCUUAGGAAAAUCCAGGUGCUCUGUACCUGGAAACAGCUCAAAUUCCUCCCCAGCUAAGCUUGGAGCUGCUUGAGAGCUCUGCUCUUGUGCCAGCUGUGGUGCUCCCACCAGCUCCAGGCUCCCAGCUGCUGGUUCCUACCCUCCUGUAAUCCCAAAUAUUCCCAUUCCCCCUUCCCAUGCUUUAUGUACCUGUGAUCCCCUCCACAGUAAUUCCUGCUGUGUGUCUCAUGAAGCUGGACAAUCCCAUUAAACUGGAAUGAGAACAACCCUUGGGUCAGCUCUUGCUGUUGCACCUCUCAGAAAUCCCAGCCAGCAUUUCAGGGAUCCCUGCACGUCUGCAAGUGGCAUUUGUUUAUAGCCCACAUUUCUUAGGAUGUUCCUAACUGUCCUUCGAGUGUAUCACGGCAUUUCCAGCUCAUCCAUAACAUUCCUCCUUGUUUAGACACAGCUCAAGGCUUGGGAGAUGUGGCCAGCAGCUCCCUCGGAGGGGAGCUCAGGGCUGGGAGCAGUUGUGGGUCUGUCAGCACGGGAGACCAGCUAAAACCAGGAGCUCCCCGUUUGCUGGGGCUGCUCCACCUCUGCUUUAGGGCUUCUCCAUGCCCAGGGAAGGGAAUGGAGCUGGGAAGGGGCUGGAGAAUCCUGAGGGAGCUGGGGAGGGGCUCAGCCUGGAGAAAAGGAGCUCAGGGGGCUCUCCUGGCUCUGCACAGCCCCUGCCAGGAGGGGACAGGGAACAGGGACAGGAGGAGAGUUGUGCCAGGGGAGGGUCAGGCUGAAUAUCAGGGAAUUUUAUGCAUGGAAAAGGUGAAGAGCAUUGGCACAGGGCAGUGGUGAUAUCCCCAGCCCUGAAAUGCUGAAAACCACGUGGCUGUGCCAUUGGGGUGGCCGUGGUGCUGGGCUGAGGGCUGGACUCCACCAUCUCCGAGGUCUUUCCCAGCCUCGGUGGCUUUGAUUGCACAGUUCUGUCACUGGGACUGUCAGAGCCCUGCACUCACUGUAAAUCUCCACCAGAGGAGGGAGUCCAUGGCUGCAGCUCCCUGGCAAUCCUUGGCAGGCAACAGCACCUGCUGGGGUUUUGUGCUGCUUAGGAAGAGCUCCCCAGGAUCCUGGCCACGCUCCUCAGUCCCCAGAGUUUGCUCUGACACCUCCUCCCUGUGCCCUGCCUGCUGCUUUUUCCUUUGCUCUUUCACAGCUGCACUUUGGAAGAGCCUGCUUUGCCCCUGCAACUUGCUGUGAGCAGCCACGGGGUUUGUCCCCCUCCCAGCACAGCAAUCCCUCAUUCCUGGAGUGAUCUCAGGACACAGAUCCUGGAGGGAAAUGUUGCACUUGAAAGCAAGUAAGUGAAGCCAUGACGUGUCUGUUUAGAGUAAAAGGACAUGAAGCAGAUAAUAAAUUAUCAGGGUUCAAUGUGACAAAGCUUCUGCUUUAAAUUUAAAUUGGAAUAGUUGUUCUACAGCUGGAUAAUAGGAGGAAUUUUAAAUGAAUGCCUUUCCUAAAAUUGUACAGAUUUAAAAGUUGUGAGGCGAAGAACUCAUGAGGAAAAAUAAACUAAUUUAUCAGCAAUGCAGUCUGUGAUUUCACCUGUGAGCCAAGGGAGAACACCUUGCUUUGGGGCACUCUCCCAGAUUCACCUCCUGGAUCACGGGACUGACUGGGGUUAAAAAAUAACUUGGUUUGUUUUCCUGGAAUUAUUUUUACCCUAGAUCAAUCUCCCAGCCCACACAGUGCACUUCAGAGGCUGGGGGAACCCAGGGCCAGCACAGGGUGGGGAUGGUGCCUGCAGCCCCCACUGCCCACUCGGGGCACAAAGUGGCCACAUCUCCCCUUAAAAACCACCCUGAGCUGCUGGCCUGAAACUUCCACCUUUGGAACUGGGGCAGGAGUGGGGCUGGAGGGAUUUCCUGCCCACUCAGGGACCUGCAGCAGCCAAACUGCUCUGGUGGUGGCUUCUGCUCUCGAGCCACGAGGCAGAAAUGCCAAAGGAGUGCUGGAGUUUGGGGCUGUGAUGUUCCUUUCUUUAUGUUUAUUAUGCUGAACGCUAAAAGCUCAAUCUCUUCCUGCCCUAAGAGUCCGAAGAAUUUCUUUCUUGCCUUUAAUUUCCAAUUAGCUGAGCCUCUCAAGCCUCCCAGCUCUGCCCCUGAGGCUCUGUUAUCAUCCCACCCUCCGUGCAGAGAAGCUUCCGAAAUGGAUGGAACUAAUAAUCGUGGAGGAGCUGGGGCUGCACUUCCAGGCUCGGGCUGCAGCACUGGAGCCUUGAUUUCAAAUCCUGCAGCGACAAAUGGAUUAUUUCAGUGGCAAAUUAGUCCCUGGGGACCAGCAAUUUGGGGAGCUGAAUGCUGGAACUGGGAAGCAGCAGAUCAAUUCCCAACACUUAGAGCCAAGGUUAAUGCCCUGCAAACUGUCCUGAGUGCAGCAGUGAGGAGAACACGGCCCUGCCUGGCCAAGGGGGCCUCAGGAAUGUGUCCAAGGGAAAAUGGAGAGCUCUGGAACUAGGCAAGUGAGAGCCAUGGAUUUGCUGGUAAAACCUGGGGGCUGUUCUGGGGCAGUCACAGUGGGAUUUGACUAAAAGAAGUGGAACUGAUGUCUCCAAGAAGGAGGCUGUGGGACUUGGGACAGUGGUGGCAUUGUCACCUGUCACCUCCCAUACCUGUCACCUCCAGCCCUCCCCAGGCAUCAUGGACAGCAUCCCAAAAUUCCUGUUUCACAUAAGGGAUCUCCUCAAGGUUGGACACUCUUAUUUUCCCCAGUGACAACAGCUUUGAAAUAACCCCAAGAAAGAAUUCCAGCAGCUGAGGAAGGACCCACGGAAGCGAUAUCAGCCCCUUGCUGAAGGAUCCUGUGGCCUUCAGGACUUUGAUUGAUCUUCUGGAGGAUCAUGUGAGGGC